GUCGAACGAUGAAACUUAGUAGACUUCUUCGGAAAGACACUAAGCGGAUUAGUGGCGAACGGGUGAGUAACGCGUGAGUAACCUGCCUUACACAAGGGGAUAGCCUUUGGAAACGAAGAAUAAUACCCUAUAAAACCAUAAAAGCACAUGCUAGAAUGGUCAAAGUGAUAGCGGUGUAAGAUGGACUUGCGUCUGAUUAGCUAGUUGGUGAGAUAAAAGCUCACCAAGGCAACGAUCAGUAGCCGGCUUGAGAGAGUGUACGGCCACAUUGGGACUGAGACACGGCCCAGACUCCUACGGGAGGCAGCAGUGGGGAAUUUUGCACAAUGGGGGAAACCCUGAUGCAGCGACGCCGCGUGAUUUAGAAGACCUUCGGGUUGUAAAAAUCUUUUGUAUAGGAAGAAAAUGACAGUACUAUACGAAUAAGGUCCGGCUAAUUACGUGCCAGCAGCCGCGGUAAUACGUAAGGACCGAGCGUUGUCCGGAAUCAUUGGGCGUAAAGGGUACGUAGGCGGCUAGAAAAGUUAGAAGUCAAAGGCUAUAGCUCAACUAUAGUAAGCUUCUAAAACUAUUUAGCUUGAGAAAUGGAAGGGAAAGUGGAAUUCCUAGUGUAGCGGUGGAAUGCGCAGAUAUUAGGAAGAAUACCGGUGGCGAAGGCGACUUUCUGGCCAUUAUCUGACGCUGAGGUACGAAAGCGUGGGUAGCAAACAGGAUUA
rnacentral:rRNA from 2 species